rnacentral:rRNA from 1 species
CCUACGGGUGGCAGCAGUGGGGAAUAUUGCACAAUGGGGGGAACCCUGACGCAGCGACGCCGCGUGAGUGAAGAAGUUUUUCGGUAUGUAAAGCUCUGUCAGCAGGGAAGAAGAAUGACGGUACCUGACUAAGAAGCCCCGGCUAACUACGUGCCAGCAGCCGCGGUAAUACGUAGGGGGCAAGCGUUAUCCGGAUUUACUGGGUGUAAAGGGAGCGUAGGCGGCGACGGAAGUCUGAAGUGAAAUGCCAGGGCUUAACCGUGGAACUGCAUUGGAAACUGUGUAGCUAGAGUGCAGGAGAGGUGAGUGGAAUUCCUAGUGUAGCGGUGAAAUGCGUAGAUAUUAGGAGGAACACCAGAGGCGAAGGCGACUUACUGGACUGUAACUGACGUUGAGGCUCGAAGGCGUGGGGAGCAAACAGGAUUAGAUACCCCGGUAGUC